rnacentral:misc_RNA from 1 species
AAGUCGUAACAAGGUUUCCGUAGGUGAACCUGCGGAAGGAUCAUUAACACUUUCAUUUUAUUGAAAAUUCAUUUUUCAAUAAUUUACUUACCCACAUUUUUGGAUGAAUUAUCUCUUUUUUAUUCUUUUUUAAAAUUUUAUACCCAAAUACCAUAUUAUUUCUAACAUUUAUACACAAAAAGUUUAAGAAAAACAUAAAAAACAACUCUUAACAACGGAUAUCUAGGCUCUC